GGAUCCCGGAGCUUGCUCCGGUGAUGAGAGUGGCAAACGGGUGAGUAACACGUGGGUAACCUACCUUCGGAUGGGGGAUAGCCCUAGGAAACUAGGGAUAAUACCGCAUGACAUCCUCCUGUCACAAGACGGGUGGAUCAAAGGCGCCCCCUGCUUGCAAGGUGCCGUCUGAAGAUGGGCUCGCGUACUAUUAGCUAGUUGGCAGGGUAACGGCCUACCAAGGCGACGAUGGUUAGCCGGCCUGAGAGGGUGUCCGGCCACAUUGGGACUGAGAUACGGCCCAGACUCCUACGGGAGGCAGCAGCUAAGAAUAUUCCGCAAUGGGCGAAAGCCUGACGGAGCGACGCCGCGUGGAGGAUGAAGGCCUUCGGGUUGUAAACUCCUUUUCUCAGGGAAGAAUAAGGUCUGGAGUAACUGCCAGGCCGAUGACGGUACCUGAGGAAUAAGCCCCGGCUAAUUACGUGCCAGCAGCCGCGGUAAUACGUAUGGGGCAAGCGUUGUUCGGAUUCACUGGGCGUAAAGGGCGUGUAGGCGGUGCGGUAAGUCGGAUGUGAAAUCUCCACGGCUCAACCUGGAAACUGCAUUCGAAACUGCCGUGCUAGAGUACUGGAGAGGGAGACGGAAUUCCUGGUGUAGGGGUGAAAUCUGUAGAUAUCAGGAAGAACACCGGUGGCGAAGGCGGUCUCCUGGCCAGAUACUGACGCUGAGGCGCGAAAGCUAGGGGAGCAAACAGGAUUAGAUACCCUGGUAGUCCUAGCUGUAAACGUUGUGCACUAGGUGUAAGUGGUUUUAACCCACUUGUGCCGCAGCUAACGCAUUAAGUGCACCGCCUGGGGAGUAUGCUCGCAAGGGUGAAACUCAUAGGAAUUGACGGGGGCCCGCACAGCGGUGGAGCAUGUGGUUUAAUUCGAUGAUACGCGGAGACCUUACCA
rnacentral:rRNA from 1 species